UACGUAGGGGGCAAGCGUUGUCCGGAAUCAUUGGGCGUAAAGAGCGUGUAGGCGGCCCGGUAAGUCCGCUGUGAAAGUCCAGGGCUCAACCCUGGGAUGCCGGUGGAUACUGUCGGGCUCGAGUCCGGAAGAGGAGUGUGGAAUUCCUGGUGUAGCGGUGAAAUGCGCAGAUAUCAGGAGGAACACCGGUGGCGAAGGCGGGUCUCUGGGCCGAAACUGACGCUGAGGAGCGAAAGCGUGGGGAGCGAACAGG
rnacentral:rRNA from 1 species